rnacentral:rRNA from 1 species
UACGGAGGGUGCAAGCGUUAUCCGGAUUCACUGGGUUUAAAGGGCUCGUAGGCGGCCAACUAAGUCAGACGUGAAAUCCCUCAGCUUAACUGGGGAACUGCGUCUGAUACUGGAUGGCUUGGAUUCGGGAGAGGAAUGCGGAAUUCCAGGUGUAGCGGUGAAAUGCGUAGAUAUCUGGAGGAACACCGGUGGCGAAGGCGGCAUUCUGGACCGAUAUUGACGCUGAGGAGCGAAAGCCAGGGGAGCAAACGGG